ACAAGUGUCACACGGAACUGCCGGUCAUAAACCGGAGGAAGGUGGGAUGACGGUCAAGUCAGCAUGGCCUUUAUAUCCUGGGCUACACACACGCUACAAUGGGAAGGGACAAUAGGUUGCGAAGCCGCGAGGCGGAGCCAAUCCAGCAAACUUCCCUCAGUUCAGAUUGCAGGCUGCAACUCGCCUGCAUGAAGUUGGAGUUGCUAGUAAACGCAGGUCAGCCAUACUGCGUUGAAUACGUUCCCGGGGCGUU
rnacentral:rRNA from 1 species